GUUUCUUCUUCUUCAGUUCGGAGCUCACAAGACCAGAGUCAGAUUAUCUGCUACAAAAUUGAAAGAGCUAUGGAAGGUGAGAAUGUGUCAACCCAGCCGGAGGUUCCCGGGGAGCCAACUCAGACCAGCACUGCCCUUCUUGAAACUGCCACCGCCACUCUUCAGGGCUUUGGUCCUGUUAACAAAAUCCACCAGCACCUCUGCGCAUUCCAUUUCUAUGCGCAUGACAUGACAAGGCAAGUGGAGGCACACCACUUUUGUGGGCAUCAAAAUGAGGAUUUCAGGCAGUGUUUGAUAUAUGAUAAGCCUGAUGAUGAUGGCAAACUCAUUGGCUUAGAGUACAUAAUCUCUGAGGAAUUAUUCUUGACUUUGCCUGAUAAUGAGAAGCCCUUUUGGCACACUCACGAGUUCGAGGUAAAGGGUGGCUACCUCUUCAUGCCUGGUGUUCCUGGCCCUAUUCAAAGGCAAGAUCUUGAAAAGGUUUGCAAAACCUAUGGCAAAACUAUCCACUUUUGGCAAAUUGAUAGAGGUGAUAAUCUCCCUCUUGGAAUUCCCCAGGUUAUGAUGGCUCUUACUAGGGAUGGCCAGCUCCAUCCCAAUCUUGCACAAGAUGUGGAGAGUCGUUUUGGCAUCUCAUUUGCCAAGGAGAGGGAAAACCGGGCAUACAUGACUGGACCCGCUCAUGGGUUGCAUCCCCUUGGAAAUGCAGCCGGUAGAGGGUUGCAGACUGUACUGAGAGAAGUUGAUUGCAAACCGGUUGAAUCAGUUCCAAGCGUCUUUGUCUAAUUGUCUAAGUUAGAACUUAGAAGUACUGUCAUGACCUUUUUGUCAAUAAGGCCACCUUGGACAGGAGGAUAUUUUGUAAUUAUGGAAUAUAACAGGAAAAAGGCAAAUUUGAGAUGUGGUCAUGUUGGAUUUCCAGGAUGAGGUUUGAGUGAAGCAAAAGAGGGAAAGGUAAUCAUGAUCAAUUGUCUAAUGAUGAG